rnacentral:rRNA from 1 species
AGCAGUAGCCGCGGUAAUACGAGGGGGGCAAGCGUUGUUCGGAUUUAUUGGGCGUAAAGGGUGCGUAGGCGGAUUGGCAAGUCUUGUGUGAGAUCUUCGGGCUCAACCCGAAACCUGCACGAGAAACUGCCGGGCUUGAGUAUUGGAGAGGUGAGUGGAAUUUCCGGUGUAGCGGUGAAAUGCGUAGAUAUCGGAAGGAACACCUGUGGCGAAAGCGGCUCACUGGACAAUUACUGACGCUGAGGCACGAAAGCUAGGGGAGCAAACAGGAUUAGAUACCCGCGUAGUCCCUGUCUCUUAUAC